rnacentral:lncRNA from 1 species
GAAAACACAAAACACAUGACCACGAAUCAUCAUCAUCACCACCACCUUCAUCCUCUUCCUUGGUGCUGACGGCUCAUCAACCGCCCACACGUUCCGUGUCAGCAAAUUCACACUGAUCCCCACAGAUGCCCCUCUUCAAUGCACCACCGCUCCUCCAUUCUCGUUGAUACAUAUAUCUCUUCUCUUCUUCUUCAACCUUGAUCAUCUCUUUCGCAUCCCCGACCUGAAGAGCUAAAGAAACGAAGGAGAAACCCACCUCCCGUUCUUGGUCACAGGCUUAACCCUAAAGUGCGAACCGAGGAGUUCUCUUAGUUCUUUUCUUGUCAUUGGAUGUGAAAAGAACACGAUGUUGUUGACACUUAAAUUUUACGAUUUUAUUUAAGAUUUAAUCGUGUACAAAAUUAGGAAUUAUUCGCUAAAAGAAAGAAAAAGAGAAAAAAAAAACGCCUAGAGGUCGAGUUGGGCCGGAUCUGGCAGUGGCCCGGCCGACUGCCCGCUUCUCUUUCCCCUGCGCGGCCCAAGCCCGUUUCCCUUUAGGCCUGGCCCACGCCAGCCUUCUCCCUCCUCCAACUCGCGCGCGCAAACCUGCAAAAAGGGAAAAAAGGCAGCAGAGGUGAGAGCAGAGAAGAGCAAGGGGGCGUCGGGCAGGGAAAAAGCAGAACAGGAAAGCUGGAGAGGGAGGGAGAGAGCUCGAGAGAGAGAGAGACAGGGGGGCACGCGAGCAAGAGGAGAAGGAGUCUCCGGGCCACCGCCACCGUCGCCGACGAGCCACCCAAUCGACGCCGUUCGCCGCCGUCUUCCCCGGAACCCAGAUCUGAAGCAGAAAGGGAGAAGAGCGAAGGCACAGCAGAGGAGGAGAAGCCAAGGGGGGAAAGAGAGAACAGGAGAGGAGGAAGGAGACCCCCCGGGGGCGUCGAUCGUUGCCGUCGAUCGCCGCCGGAGUUGCCGACCGCCUCCAACCCCGUCGGAACCCAGAGGGGCGGAACAAAGAGAGAACAACAGAAAGAAGGGAGAAACAGAGAGCGAAAAGAGAGAGAGAAGAGAGACAGGCAGCAACAGAGGGAAAAGGGG